rnacentral:rRNA from 1 species
CCUACGGGUGGCAGCAGUGAGGAAUAUUGGUCAAUGGACGAGAGUCUGAACCAGCCAAGUAGCGUGAAGGAUGACUGCCCUAUGGGUUGUAAACUUCUUUUAUAUGGGAAUAAAAUGUUCCACGUGUGGGAUUUUGUAUGUACCAUCUGAAUAACGAUCGGCUAACUCCGUGCCAGCAGCCGCGGUAAUACGGAGGAUCCGAGCGUUAUCCGGAUUUAUUGGGUGUAAAGGGAGCGUAGGUGGAUUGUUAAGUCAGUUGUGAAAGUUUGCGGCUCAACCGUAAAAUUGCAGUUGAAACUGGCAGUCUUGAGUACAGUAGAGGUGGGCGGAAUUCGUGGUGUAGCGGUGAAAUGCUUAGAUAUCACGAAGAACUCCGAUUGCGAAGGCAGUUCACUGGACUGCAACUGACACUGAGGCUCGAAAGUGUGGGUAUCAAACAGGAUUAGAUACCCGAGUAGUC